AUAGAAACUAUGAAGGGAAGAGUAGGAUUAAUUUUUAUCUGAAAGAGAGCCAAGAUAGGUGAAAGUUGGCGUUAAAAGUUAUUCUGAAUAUGGCCCCUGAGUUAUAUAGUUGAAAUUAAGUAGGCUAUAUCGGAAAUCAACCGUUAUAUUGAUGGGUUAAAGACCUAGUGAGUUCUAAAUUGUGAAGUUUAGAUAAAUUAGAGUGGUACCGCGAAGACUAAGCCUUCGUCUCUAUA
rnacentral:ncRNA from 1 species